rnacentral:rRNA from 1 species
UACGUAGGUGGCAAGCGUUGUCCGGAUUUAUUGGGCGUAAAGCGAGCGCAGGCGGUUCCUUAAGUCUGAUGUGAAAGCCCACGGCUCAACCGUGGAAGGUCAUUGGAAACUGGGGAACUUGAGUGCAGAAGAGGAGAGUGGAAUUCCAUGUGUAGCGGUGAAAUGCGUAGAUAUAUGGAGGAACACCAGUGGCGAAGGCGACCCUCUGGUCUGUAACUGACGCUGAGGCUCGAAAGCGUGGGGAGCAAACAGGAUUAGAUA